CUCUAAUUUUUCAUGAGUCUGAGCAAACACACAAACUCCCUGAGCGUCCCUUGGACCACUGUGAGCAACAUCAGACGUGUGCACUGUGGUCACACCAGCAUCACAUCCAUUCAAGUUACAUGGUUCAUUAAAAGAAUCAAAUUACAGCAUUUACAUUUCUGUUAAAACACUUUGUCAACAGGAGCCAGUUGAAGGCUGCAGUGAUUUUAGUGACACUACAAUGUAUAAGAGUGAAGUUAUUGAAUAUUUGUCUCUCUUUACUGUUGCAGCGGUUUUGCAAAUUGCAGACGGACCCUGUUCACUCCAUAGACACCAAUGUUAUUCCUGUAGCUUGAAAGACAGCUACUUUUGAUAAAACUGGGCUUGUAGCACAUUGUCUGCCUUGCAACAAUGGGAAAGAGGCAUCGUUUAUGUUUUGACAACCUAUAUCUAACGAGUUAUUGAUGCUGGAAGUGUGAAUCUGUGAAUAUCUUUCCAACUUUACUGAACUUGGGGCCACUACCACCUAAGGAGUGAUAUUGGUAGGUGUAACCUCUGCAGGUCCUGGUUAGGCCCCUCCUUCCCCUUGUGUGUGUGUUUCCUUUUUAGGAAGGAGUGACAGCAGACAGCAGCGGCAGGUGUAGACAGUUCUCAUCUGAGCAAUCAGCAGAAGUGGGAGCAGCUGUGCAGAACCAAUCAGUCCACCACUCCAUCAUUUUAUAACCUGACUCUUCUCUUCAUUCUUCGUCGGAUCGUAAAAAGCAACUACCUAGACUGCUCCCAGAUUUGGACUCCUCGGACCCACCUGCCUACCGGCCUUCCCCCACCGUCAGGAUUAGUCACCCGGUUCAUUCUCCAACCAUUCCUCCGUCGACUACCAGCUCCUGUCCUCACCAGCCGUCGCCGCUGCAGCCGCACGUCCAUUCCUCCGUUCCAUCGUCGAGCCACAGCCAGCCAUCCCUCCUAGAUGCCAGCUGAGCACCCGUCCGAGCAGACUCCGUUAGUGUUUAUAGUUCUUAAAGAAUAACAGUGCUAUAGUAGUUUUUUGUUUACCGGACCCCGGCUCAUAGUUAAAGUUCCAGUAGCCGUAAUGUUUAGCUUCCUAGUUGUUGGUUAUUCCACUUAAAACAUUUGAGUUUCUAGUUUGCGUGUCUUGUGUAACACUUUAGUUUGGGUGGCUUCCUUAAUAGGCCUUUUUGCUGAAGUAAUUUGGGCUAGUGUAAGCUGUAGUUCUCCUGCCCAGGAAUUACCUGUUGUGGGUCCGCCAGCCACUAGAGGCAACAAUCAGUUCUAGUUAAAGUCGUUAUCCCAUUGUUCCGGUACUCCCGGUAUUUUGAGUUUCUGUGGGAAUUGUAGUCCUUUAUCCCUUGUUUUUGAAUAAAUGACUAUUUAUGCAUA